rnacentral:tRNA from 1 species
AUGGGAAUCGAACCCACAAUGUCCCGCUUACCGGGCAGAUGCCAUAUCCACUAGGCU